GCUUGCGGUCAAACUACCUUGAGAACGCCUGAUCUCGGAAGCUAAGCAGGGUUUGGCCUGGUUAGUACUUGGAUGGGAGACCACCUGGGAAUACCAGGUGCUGUAAGCU
ensembl:rRNA 5S_rRNA 5S ribosomal RNA